rnacentral:rRNA from 1 species
GACAGAGGGUGCAAACGUUGCUCGGAAUUACUGGGCGUAAAGCGCGUGUAGGCGGACCGGAAAGUCGGGCGUGAAAUCCCUGGGCUCAACCCAGGAACUGCACUCGAAACUUCCGGUCUUGAGUGGUGGAGAGGGUAGUGGAAUUCCUGGUGUAGAGGUGAAAUUCGUAGAUAUCAGGAGGAACACCGGUGGCGAAGGCGGCUACCUGGACGCCAACUGACGCUGAGACGCGAAAGCGUGGGGAGCAAACAGG